AGGCUUUGGUGCUGGCUGUGUGCUGUGUGUUCUCCUAGGCCCGCAGGCAGCUCGCCGCGGCCUGAGCCCCGGACAGCGUCCAGAUGUGCACGGCAGAGGGGGCUGGGCUGCCGGCGCGGGCGGCGCGGGGCGCAGC